rnacentral:misc_RNA from 1 species
UGGAAACAGAGGAAUCAUUUUAUAAUCAACAUAACACCAAAUCAAAACAUCCACGAAAAGCAUAUAGAAUUACAACAGGAUAAACAACAUUACAAGCGUAGAAUACAAAUACAUAACUAUAUCAUUUUCUGGAGAAAAACUCCAUGAAUUGCAUGACAUAAUGCACUUAUUCACUUGUAUUUAUUUCAUAUGUUUUAACAUUAAAGCUCCCCAUCCCACAGCUCUUCAAUGGACUUAAAUGGCCCAUCAGGAGAGACAAAGUCCUCCUUAAGCAUGAAUCUUCGCUGUGGGAUUUGACUGAUCUUUUCAUUAUCUUCCUUUGACAGAUCCCAAUCAAAUAUCUCCAUAUUCUCUUUUAGCCUCUCCUUUUUAUAGCUCUUUACCGCAAGAGUUGCCUCUUGCUCAAUUAUCCAUCCCAGAGACACCUGCAAUGCAAACUUAAAGAUGAUCACUGAGGGAAAAUAUAUAUCAAGAAUUAAUUAGUCAUCCAAUACUAUCUAUAUCUAAGCACAAAUGCACAAAGAAAAGACCAACUGAAAAUAUGCAAUUAAUAGAGCCUGUGCAACAGUCUUUCCAUGCUCCUUGGCAAUCUCUUUCAGCACUUCAUUGUCCAUAACCAGAUUGCUGCCCCAGUUGGAAACUUUUGCUCCCAAAGGAGAGAAAGCAGUCACUAU